rnacentral:rRNA from 1 species
GACGAACGCUGGCGGCGCGCUUAACACAUGCAAGUCGAGCGAAGCGGCGGACGGGUGAGUAACACGUGAGUAACCUGCCUUAGACAUUGGGAUAGCCUCGGAAAACCGGGAUUAAUACCAAAUGGUCUAAGAUGGACUCGCGUCCCAUUAGCUAGUUGGGAGGUAACGGCCCACCAAGGCGACGAUGGGUAGCCGGCCUGGGAGGGUGAACGGCAACAUUGGAACUGAGAAACGGUCCAAACUCUACGGGAGGCAGCAGUGGGGGAUAUUGCACAAUGGGGGAAAGCCUGAUGCAGCGACGCCGCGUGGGGGAUGAAGGCUUUCGGGUUGUAAACCUCUGUCGCUAUCGAACGGGUAGGUGGAGAAGAAGCGCCGGCUAACUACGUGCCAGCCGCCGCGGUAAUAC